UAUGUCGACAACUUGUGAAGUCGAAUAAAAAACAGGCCUGCCUCAGAUUGACGAUUUCCGUCCAAAGGACACGGCUUAAAGCUGUCCCGAUUCCGGGGGAUCGCACCUAACAAUGGCGCCCCCAGCGGGCCUGUUUCUAGGAAGAAAACCCUCCGCUGGAAAGAGGUUCUGGAGUUGUCUAGCUACACAGAGAGCGCGUCUGUCAUGGUGGAGAGGUGAUAACGCGCUGGCCCCUCCAUCUUUCCAAAGUAUAGUGUCAGUACACGGAGAGGCUGUUAAUAAGCGAGAGGAGUGGAGCGACACAGACACGGGCUGGGGAGAGGCUACAGCUGUCCGUGGGUAUAAGGGGGCCGGGACCCAGGUUGAAAACAUCUCCAAAAAUUUUCCCCCUCCGGGUGGGUUUCCCAUCGCCCCCAGAGUGGAACCUUUUAUAUGGGGAUCCAGAUCCCGAGAGAAUCCUUCCCGGGCCUUUUACACCCCCCCGUCACACACAUGGAGAGUGGGCUGCACAGAAGUAGAUAGCUUACCCUCGGGAGGCCGUUUAACACGGUGUGGUUCAUGACUGGGUGAAGUCGUAACAAGGUAA
rnacentral:rRNA from 1 species